rnacentral:misc_RNA from 1 species
AACGCACCUUGCGCCCCUUGGUAUUCCGAGGGGCAUGCCUGUUUGAGUGUCUUAUAAACAUCAAUCCCCCCCGGUUUCGCGACCGUGGUUUGGUGGACUUGGAGAUGGGCGUUGCCGGGCGACCGGCUCGCCUUAAAGACUUUAGUGGGAAGGGUACCCUCUGGCCUGACGUGAUGAGUUUCGUCUGACCCUGGGUCGCUCACGCCCGCUCACAACCCCCCACGUGGCCUCUUGGGCCCGUGAACCCCUUUAUGCUGGACCUCAAAUCAGGUAGGACUACCCGCUGAACUUAA